UUCCCGGCGCUCGGGGGCCAGGCGGGGAUGGAGCCGAGACGCUCUAGCCGGGCCAGCCUGUCCCUUCUCUCCCAGGUGAGAAGCGCUCCCAGAGGAGUCGGCUCCAUUUUCCUUUUUUACUUCCAGCUGUCACCUCUGCCCGUGGCCACUUCCACAUCAAGCAGAGAAACGUAUACAAAGAACACGGGAUUUGGAUUUACAAAGAUUGUGCCUUUAAAUCCGGCUGUGUGACCUUGAGCAAAUUGCUCAGCCUCUCGGCGUCAGUCUCCUCAUCCGUAAAGAGACUUGGGAGGAUUAGAGAUAACGCGUAAAAUGCUUAGCACCGUGCCUGGUACAGCGUGAGCUCGCGGCUAUUUUCACUCCGAACUUGCUUGGGUUGGAGCCCGCCCCCCUCUCCCCGCCCCCAGCCUCGGCCUGACCUGCACCCGGGAGCUGUCUGUCUCCAGCCGCGAAUGGGGGAGGCGCCCCGGAGCAGCCGACCAGCCAACGGUCUCGCGCUCCGAUUUCCUCACCGUAUGAAAUGAAAUUCCACAGGGGGAUUCGAAAGGAAAUGAGACCGGGACGCUCCGUGCUUCUCGGCCCGCCGCCCUUCCUGUCUCGGGGACACGGUUUCUAAAUAAGAGCCCGGGCAUCCCUGCCUCAGCCUGCUUGAAGCGACUGUCUGCUUUGAGAACACUUGAAAAAGCCCCUUGCCGGUCAGAAGCUUUUCCUGUCAACAGCUUUUCUUUCCCGGCAUGGAACUCAUCGCAGAAAACACUUCCCCAAGGGAGUUCCAGGCAGAAGGCUAUCCACCCUGUGACAUGCAGAGCGUUUAGGAGAGGAGUAGAAGU